AGGCAGGUAGCCUUUUAGCAACCAAUUAGCGUGCAUGUUCCGCCUAUGGUGAAGGAAGCAAGUCUGUACGUAGUGCUUUUUACUUCCUUUUGACCCCGGCCGCGACAGCGAGAAGGCAGCAAUCCGCUAAACAAGAGCGUUUAGCACUGUGCUCAAGUGGUUACACAGACGAACCGUCUGUCAUCUUGUGAGAGCUGAGAGUCCCCGACGGCGCUCAGCACUGGAACGAAGCGCAUCGGUCAGGUCUUUUGGAGACCCCUAGUCUUCAUAUCCAGUCUUUUGGAGAGGAU